AGCAGCCGCGGUAAUUCCAGCUCCAAUAGCGUAUAUUAAAGUUGUUGCAGUUAAAAGCUCGUAGUUGAAUUUCGGGAUCAAUUAAUCGGUCGUGCCUCUGGUACGCACUGGUUUUAUUGGUUUCUCCCUUCUGACGAACCAGGAUGUCAUUAAUUUGGUGUCUUGGAGAAUCAGGACUGUUACUUUGAAAAAUUAGAGUGUUUAAAGCAGGCUAACGCUUGAAUACAUUAGCAUGGAAUAAUGAAAUAGGACGUUUGAUCCUAUUUUGUUGGUUUCUAGGACCGACGUAAUGAUUAAUAGGGAUAGUUGGGGGCAUUAGUAUUCAAUUGUCAGAGGUGAAAUUCUUGGAUUUAUUGAAGACUAACUACUGCGAAAGCAUUUGCCAAGGAUGUUUUCAUUAAUCAAGAACGAAAGUUAGGGAUCGAAGACGAUCAGAUACCGUCGUAGUCUUAACCAUAAACUAUGCCGACUAGGGAUCGGAUGAUGUUAAUUUUUUAAUGUACUCAUUCGGCGCCUUACG
rnacentral:misc_RNA from 1 species